GUAGGUGGCAAGCGUUGUCCGGAAUUAUUGGGCGUAAAGCGCGCGCAGGCGGUUCUUUAAGUCUGAUGUGAAAGCCCACGGCUCAACCGUGGAGGGUCAUUGGAAACUGGAGAACUUGAGUACAGAAGAGGAAAGCGGAAUUCCACGUGUAGCGGUGAAAUGCGUAGAGAUGUGGAGGAACACCAGUGGCGAAGGCGGCUUUCUGGUCUGUAACUGACGCUGAGGUGCGAAAGCGUGGGGGAGCAAACAGGAUUAGAUACCCUGGUAGUCCACGCCGUAAACGAUGAGUGCUAAGUGUUAGGGGGUUUCCGCCCCUUAGUGCUGCAGCUAACGCAUUAAGCACUCCGCCUGGGAGUACGGCCGCAAGGCUG
rnacentral:rRNA from 1 species